rnacentral:rRNA from 1 species
CCUACGGGAGGCAGCAGUAGGGAAUAUUGCUCAAUGGCGGAAACCCUGAAGCAGCAACGCAGCGUGGAGGAUGACGGUUUUCGGAUUGUAAACUCCUUUUGUUAGAGAAGAUAAUGACGGUACCUAACGAAUAAGCACCGGCUAACUCCGUGCCAGCAGCCGCGGUAAUACGGAGGGUGCAAGCGUUACUCGGAAUCACUGGGCGUAAAGCGCGCGUAGGCGGGAUAGCAAGUCAGAUGUGAAAUCCUAUGGCUUAACCAUAGAACUGCAUUUGAAACUGUUAUUCUAGAGUAUGGGAGAGGUAGGUGGAAUUCUUGGUGUAGGGGUAAAAUCCGUAGAGAUCAAGAGGAAUACUCAUUGCGAAGGCGACCUGCUAGAACAUAACUGACGCUGAUGCGCGAAAGCGUGGGGAGCAAACAGGAUUAGAUACCCCUGUAGUC